rnacentral:tRNA from 1 species
AACGGCUAGAGCAGCGGAUUCCAAAUCCGCGGGUUGUGGGUUCGAAUCCCUCCUGCCCUG